rnacentral:rRNA from 1 species
UGCAAGUCGAGGGGCAGCAUGAACUUAGCUUGCUAAGUUUGAUGGCGACCGGCGCACGGGUGAGUAACGCGUAUCCAACCUACCCUUGUCCAUCGGAUAACCCGUCGAAAGGCGGCCUAACACGAUAUGCGGUUCACCGCAGGCAUCUAACGUGAACGAAAUGUGAAGGAGAAGGAUGGGGAUGCGUCUGAUUAGCUUGUUGGCGGGGUAACGGCCCACCAAGGCGACGAUCAGUAGGGGUUCUGAGAGGAAGGUCCCCCACAUUGGAACUGAGACACGGUCCAAACUCCUACGGGAGGCAGCAGUGAGGAAUAUUGGUCAAUGGACGAGAGUCUGAACCAGCCAAGUAGCGUGCAGGAUGACGGCCCUAUGGGUUGUAAACUGCUUUUAUAGGGGGAUAAAGUGUGCCACGUGUGGCAUAUUGCAGGUACCCUAUGAAUAAGGACCGGCUAAUUCCGUGCCAGCAGCCGCGGUAAUACGGAAGGUCCGGGCGUUAUCCGGAUUUAUUGGGUUUAAAGGGAGCGUAGGCCGUCUUAUAAGCGUGUUGUGAAAUGUCGGGGCUCAACCUGGGCAUUGCAGCGCGAACUGUGAGACUUGAGUGCGCAGGAAGUAGGCGGAAUUCGUCGUGUAGCGGUGAAAUGCUUAGAUAUGACGAAGAACUCCGAUUGCGAAGGCAGCCUGCUGUAGCGCAACUGACGCUGAAGCUCGAAAGCGUGGGUAUCGAACAGGAUUAGAUACCCUGGUAGUCCACGCGGUAAACGAUGGAUGCUCGCUGUUUGCGUCUGACGUAAGCGGCCAAGCGAAAGCGUUAAGCAUCCCA